UUAUUUUUAUUAGAAUAAUAUUUAUGAAUUAUAAAAAAUUAUAUAUAAAUAAUUAAAAAUUAUGAAAUGUGAUAAAAGGAAAAAAAUAAUAUUAAUGAUGUCUUACAUGUCCUUUCAUGACAUAUAAAUGUUUUUUUUUUUUUUUAUGUGGACGUCGAGUUCUAUAUGGUUGGCGGUUAUUAUUUGUACUUUCAGCAGCAGCAGAAUUAAUAUUAAGAUCAGGAGUCACCGAGUUCGGAUCUUGUGUUAAUGUGAGGGUAAAUAGAUAUCAUCAGAUCCAAAAGUGGAGCACUACUGUUCCGAUGUGUACUAUACAAAAUUGCCAGAGAAUGGUUGUGCUUCUAGGCUAGAUGAAGAAAUAUCUACAGAAUGUCUAGCCGAAAAUGCAUUAAUGGAGCUGGUAUAUCGUGUAAAAGCAUCAAAAGUACUACUUAUCGAGGUCUUGCUGAAGGCUGUCUAAUCUCACCAAAUGAUCGAUGAGUGUGGAAUACAACGGGUGCUGGAAUGAUGAUAUUUGUCGGGACAGUGGUAUGUACAUCAACAUCAGUUUCUUCGCUAGAGCCACGUUUACGCCUAGGCCUUCUCGGUGGGUCAACAGACUCGUCAGGGUCAUUUAGCAUAGAUUGCGUCUAAGGUGCCGACUGUGGUAGAGGUUCCUCUGUUAUUCGUUUCUCUUUUUCCAUGGCAUAGAAUAUGCCUGUUGUUUGUCUUUUAAUAAAAUAUGUGUCUAGAUUAGAAAACUGUCGAUUAAUCAAAUGCAUAUUCUCGAUACCAUCCAUCUGUUGGUAUAACAAUAAUUAAAUAUUGAUAUGUUUAAAAAAAAUAUACAUAUGAAAAUAUAAUAAAUAAUAAAAUAUUAUCACAGUGUCAAUAGCGGCACCAUGAUGCGAUAUCCAUUGACGAGAAACUCGUCUAUACCUUUCUAAAUACUCUGAAUGAUAAUGUAGUGUUCAUCUAACGGUGCUGCUUCAACCAACCUUUGUCAUUUAUCUUUUCAAAUUGCAAUUCAACGUUCAUGAAUUGUAAUUCAAUUAUUGUCGGAUGUAAUAUAGAUGUAUUGUAAAGAUUAGCAGGCUGACGUGUGACGUGGUGGAUGUGGUAUUGGUUAUUGCAUUCUGAAUUGGCGCAACACUAUUAGAUUGAUAUUAUUCUACUACGUGGAAGCAGAUCAAGAGAACCGCUGCUCUCCAAAUGUCACAUCCUUGUAUGCUUGCAAUAUAAUAGUAAUUAUGUAAGGAGUUCAUAAGAAUAUGGUUCUCAUACCAUCUGAAAUAAAAAAAAUAUAUAUAUUUAUUAGAAAUUUUUAAAACAUAUCAUAGUAAUCUAAGUACAUUUCAUAAUUCAUAUAAUACCUCUAGGUCACCCAUUCUGUCAAAUUUAGCGUAUUUCUGUCAAUACAUGUGUCACGAUUUAAGUGAUACGUUGUGCAUUACUCCAUCUGAAAUUAUUAUAAAACAAACACAAAAAUUUAAUAUAAAUGUGUAAUAUGCAAAUCAUAAUAAUGUCAUAAUAAAUAUAAAAUAUUAACUGACUUCUCGGUGGAGCAUCAUUAUGUAGGUCUCGUAUAUUUAUAGAUGACGAUAUUGAAAUAAAUCGAUCUCAUGCCUAUAUCUGUAGGAUGUGUAGGGCUCAAUCUAAUUAAGACACUCUCGAUCAGUGGCUCGACAAAGUUUCCGAUAUAACCAGUCAAGACAAGCUGAACCCUAAUUAUGCAUGCUUACUCUAUGUAAAUUAGCAAUUAGAGGCAUAAGCAUUAGUAUCACUUUACUAGGAUUCCUAUCAGUGAAUAGAAAAUCCCCAAUGAUUCGCAAAAUGCAAACACGGGCAUAUCUCUAAACCAUUUCUUCAUCAAUAUCAUCUAGUAGUUCAUUAAAAUUUUUGACUAAUCAACUUAGUGGCAACGAGCUACCCUACAUUAUAUUAGCGGGCAGUACGAGUCCUAAAGUAUCCUGAUAGUACAUCAUCCAAUUGAUAACAAAAUUACCUACAACAGCAUCUUCAUCAAUAGGUAGGUUCGAAAUAACACUGAUGUUCUGGAGAGUAAUUGUACACUCUUCCGCUGGCAUCAUAAAUGUAUGUGUUUCUGGACGCCAUCUCUCAACCAGUGAUGUGAUUAAAUGAUGAUCCAGCGAAAAGAAGUCUAAUCUGAUAUCACUAUAAAAUCUAGAAAUUUUGAGAUAAGUCUCAAUACGGGGAUAGAAAUCCUGCUUCAAAACACUCGCAGAUCGCAUAUAAUGUAGUGGCUCAUUUUCAAUUUUCUCAUUCCAAAUCGACUGGUUUAUGAGACUGCUGUUGUGUCAAUAUAGACUGAUCAAGAAAAUCCGGACUCGUGUAAUCAUGUUAAUUUUGUCUGCCCAUCAUAUCUGUAAAAUAAAAUGUGAACAAAUAUGUCAUAAAUUGAUAAUAAUUAUCAUUAAAAAUAUAAGUACGAAUAACAUGCAAUUUUAUUAGAUACUUUCACAUUCGAUAGUUGCGUAAUAUCAUGCAAGUAAUUUAUACAUUUAUGUGUCACAUUCAGAGAAGUAUGUGUAAGAAAACUCACAAGCAAUGCCGAUGUGUAUAUCAUAUUUUUUGUAUUAUAUUUCAGAACUAGUCACUUGGAAGGUCAUAUUACAUGUCGUAAAUUUGCAGUAUGUAUCAAAAAAGUCAUAUGCAAAGUAAUCGUACAUAUCAUAAUUUUGUAGUAAGUAUCAGAAAAGUCACAUGCAAUGUAAUAGUACAUGUUAUAAUUUUGUAGUAUGUAUCAGAGAAGUCACUUGCAAGAUAAUAGUAAAUGUCAUAAUUUUUUAGUAUGUAAUAGAGAAGUUAUAUGCAAUAUAAUAGUAUAUAUCAUAAUUUUUUAGUAUGUAUCAUAUCACAUGCAAAAUAAUAAUACAUGCAUGGAUAUAGUACAAUGUCAUUAUUGUAAUAAUGCAGUAUAGGUAAUAUGAAAUGCUUGUGAUCCAUAUUGUAUAUAAGUACGAAAAUUCAGCAUUCUUGUGUGAUCAUAGAAGAAUGGCUGGAAGUUCAUCAUUCAAUGAGAGGGUCGAGUGUGGUUGCUUCCAAAUUUCAAUAAUGAUUAUAAGAAAAAGAAGUAUGGUGGUUGUAGAGAAUAUUAUGCUCGUUUUAGAAGAGAGUGGAGUUUCAGGUUUGACGAAUCAAACAAACUUGUUACUGAUUUACAGUCAUUGGGUGCUCCUAUUAUAAAACGUCAUUCUCUUAAUAUGGCAAAGAAUAAAAUAAGAGCAUAUAAGGAAUUUCCGUAUCAUUCGAAAAGAAAACAGUAGAUUAUUGUUUCGUCGUUGCAGGUUAUAUAUGUAUAAAUUGGCAAAAGAACAAGCAGCUGCGGUGGAUUGUGAGCUCAAGAAACAUAAUGAAUAAUCCAAAUUAUGCAUCUGAUGAAGAAAUGUCUGAUGAAGAGUAACUGUUACCUUAUGCUAUCUACUAUCGCAGUUUAAUAUUUGUGGUGGCAAAUAAUUGUAUUGUUAUGUUAUCUACAAUUGGAUAUGUUAUAAAUAUAAUAUGUGGAAUGUAUGUAAUAUGUAUUACUAUGUUAUCUACAAUAAAAAGUGUUAUAAAUAUAUUAUAAUUAAUAAUUUUUUUCAA